rnacentral:rRNA from 1 species
GACGAACGCUGGCGGCGUGCCUAAUACAUGCAAGUCGAACGCAGUGGGGACGGGUGAGUAACACGUGGGUAACCUCCCAUCAGAGGGGAUAACACUUGGAAACAGGUGCUAAACCGAUACUGAUGGAUGGACCCGCGGUGCAUUAGCUAGUUGGUGAGGUAACGGCUCACCAAGGCCACGAUGCAUAGCCGGCCUUGGAGGGGGAUCGGCCAAACUGGGACUGGGAGACGGCCCAGACGCCGAAGGGAGGCAGCAGUAGGGAAAUUUCGGUAAUGGGCGGAAGUCUGAACGAGCAAAGCCGCGGGAGUGAAGAAGGUUUUCGGAUCGUAAAGCUCUGUUGUUAGAGAAGCGGUAACUAACCAGAAAGUGACGGCUAACUACGUGCCAGCAGCCGCGGUAAUAC